rnacentral:rRNA from 1 species
UGCCUCAUGAAAAAUAAUAAGAGGUUAUUCCUGCCCAGUGACUUAUUAGUUAAACGGCCGCGGUACCCUGACCGUGCUAAGGUAGCAUAAUAAAUCGCCCUUUAAUUGGGGGCUUGUAUGAAUGGAUAAACGAGAGAAUUACUGUCUCUUUUAUUUUUAUAAAAAUUAUUCUUUAGGUGAAGAAACCUAAAUCAAAUUAAAGGACAAGAAGACCCCGUAGAGCUUAGUUUAAAACCCCUAUUAAAUUUCAUAACUCAUAUAUUAAUUUUAUACUUAUAUAAAACUUAGCUGGGGCGGCUAAGGAAAUAAAUCUUCCAUUUUUCUAUUUAGGUUAAUAAACCAAAUUUAUUGACCCUAUUAAGAUCAAAAAAUUAGCUACCUCGGGGAUAACAGAUUAAUCCUUCUUGAGAGUUCGCAUUGACAGAAGGGAUUGACACCUCGAUGUUGGCUUAAGAUAUCCUAAAGGUCCGCAGUAGCCUUUAAAGGUGGGUUUGUUCAACCCUUAAAAUCUU